AUAAGCGUCGAACUCCGAGCCCUUUAGGCUACGUCGACUCCUUUCAAAGGUGAGAUACGCGUAAUGGGCCGUGGCAUUUGGCCACUGGGUUGCUUUAGAAAUGAAGUAGCCUCCCGGUAUUUGGAAAGGUGUUUUGUGACGCAACAA
rfam:Vibrio sp. JCM 19231 DNA, contig00174.